AAUGAACGCUGGCGGCAUGCCUUACACAUGCAAGUCGAACGGCAGCAUGACCUAGCUUGCUAGGUUGAUGGCGAGUGGCGAACGGGCGAGUAAUGCAUCGGAACGUGCCUUUUAGUGGGGGAUAACGUAGCGAAAGUUACGCUAAUACCGCAUAUUCUCUGAGGAGGAAAGCAGGGGGCCUUCGGGCCUUGCGCUAGAAGAGCGGCCGAUGUCGGAUUAGCUAGUUGGUGAGGUAAAGGCUCACCAAGGCAACGAUCCGUAGCGGGUCUGAGAGGAUGAUCCGCCACACUGGGACUGAGACACGGCCCAGACUCCUACGGGAGGCAGCAGUGGGGAAUUUUGGACAAUGGGCGCAAGCCUGAUCCAGCCAUGCCGCGUGAGUGAAGAAGGCCUUCGGGUUGUAAAGCUCUUUCGGCUGGGAAGAAAUCGCACUCUCUAAUACAGGGUGUGGAUGACGGUACCAGCAUAAGAAGCACCGGCUAACUACGUG
rnacentral:rRNA from 1 species